CUUCCCUCGCCGGCGGUGAAUAACGGGUCAGGCAGCCGGAGGAAAGGGAGAGUACGUGCUCAUCGGCGGUUUCGCACGUCCCUGAGAGGGCAGAGGUACAUUGUUCCAGCUUCCUCUCAGUUCUGCACCAGAAGGCUGGGGUACAGCACAUAUGCAAAUGGUGUCAGCUCAUCUGCUGCCUGGCAGACGGUGAGUUAAGAUCGCUAUUCAUCGCCCAGAGAAGGCACCGUCUGCUUUCCCCCUCGCUGACCUUUCUGCUGAAACAGAUGCAGCAGCUCUGUGAAUUUGGAUGUGGCUCUGCACAUACCGAGGCACUCUGGCAGCUCUCAGCAACCCUUUGUAAUACCGCUUUAUAUCUUUUUUUACCAUUCUUUAGUAAUUUUCCCACCUAAAUGUCGUUAAAGCAAUUGCCAUUAGGGCGUUCUGUGCUCCUCCCGACAGCACAGCAAACCAGCGACAAAGAAAGGGCAUUUA